rnacentral:rRNA from 1 species
CCUACGGGUGGCAGCAGUGAGGAAUAUUGGUCAAUGGACGAGAGUCUGAACCAGCCAAGUAGCGUGAAGGAUGACUGCCCUAUGGGUUGUAAACUUCUUUUAUAAAGGAAUAAAACGAGGCACGUGUGCCUUUUUGCAUGUACUUUAUGAAUAAGGAUCGGCUAACUCCGUGCCAGCAGCCGCGGUAAUACGGAGGAUCCGAGCGUUAUCCGGAUUUAUUGGGUUUAAAGGGAGCGUAGGUGGGUUGUUAAGUCAGUUGUGAAAGUUUGCGGCUCAACCGUAAAAUUGCAACUGAUACUGGCAGUCUAGAGUACAGAUGAGGCAGGCGGAAUUCGUGGUGUAGCGGUGAAAUGCAUAGAUAUUACGAAGAACACCGAUUGCGAAGGCAGCUUGCUAGACUGUGACUGACAUUGAUGCUCGAAAGUGUGGGUAUCAAACAGGAUUAGAUACCCUAGUAGUC